UUGAGAGCGGCGCACGGGUGCGGAACACGUGUGCAACCUACCUUUAUCAGGGGGAUAGCCUUUCGAAAGGAAGAUUAAUACCCCAUAAUAUAUUUUACGGCAUCGUAAGAUAUUGAAAACUCCGGUGGAUAGAGAUGGGCACGCGCAAGAUUAGAUAGUUGGUGAGGUAACGGCUCACCAAGUCAAUGAUCUUUAGGGGGCCUGAGAGGGUGAUCCCCCACACUGGUACUGAGACACGGACCAGACUCCUACGGGAGGCAGCAGUGAGGAAUAUUGGACAAUGGGUGAGAGCCUGAUCCAGCCAUCCCGCGUGAAGGACGACGGCCCUAUGGGUUGUAAACUUCUUUUGUAUAGGGAUAAACCUACUCUCGUGAGAGUAGCUGAAGGUACUAUACGAAUAAGCA
rnacentral:rRNA from 1 species